CCUACGGGGAGCUGCAGUGAGGAAUAUUGGUCAAUGGACGAGAGUCUGAACCAGCCAAGUAGCGUGAAGGAUGACUGCCCUAUGGGUUGUAAACUUCUUUUAUAUGGGAAUAAAAUGUUCCAAGUGUGGGAUUUUGUAUGUACCAUAUGAAUAAGGAUCGGCUAACUCCGGGCCAGCAGCCGCGGUAAUACGGAGGAUCCGAGCGUUAUCCGGAUUUAUUGGGUUUAAAGGGAGCGUAGGUGGAUUGUUAAGUCAGUUGUGAAAGUUUGCGGCUCAACCGUAAAAUUGCAGUUGAAACUGGCAGUCUUGAGUACAGUAGAGGUGGGCGGAAUUCGUGGUGUAGCGGUGAAAUGCUUAGAUAUCACGAAGAACUCCGAUUGCGAAGGCAGCUCACUGGACUGCAACUGACACUGAGGCUCGAAAGUGUGGGUAGCAAACAGGAUUAGAUACCCUAGUAGUC
rnacentral:rRNA from 1 species